rnacentral:rRNA from 1 species
ACUCAAGAAAAGAAUUUAGUUCUACCUAAAUACCCCACAAUGAUACAAAAUAAACAUCUAACUUUAGAGCAACUCAAAUAAGGUACAGCUUAUUUGACACAGGACACAACCUCAACUAACGGGUAAUUUUAUCUUCAAUCCUAACCUAGUUGGCCUAAUAGCAGCCACCACUAAAAGCGUCACAGCUUACUUUUCCUCUCAACAAAUAACUUUAAUAUUACCAAACCCUUCACUAAUACUGAGUAAUUCUAUAUUUUUAUAGAAGAUUUUCUGUUAAAACUAGUAACAAGAAACUAACUUUCUCCCUAUGUAAGUAUAAGUCAGAUUGUACCCCACACUGACAAUUAAUAGGUCUAAACCCAAAGUAACAACAUUACAAGAAAAUACUACUCCAAACCCUAUUAACCUAACACAAGAACAUUUCAGGAAAGAUUUUAAAAAAAAGAAGGAACUCGGCAAACACUAAUCCCGCCUGUUUACCAAAAACAUCGCCUUUUGACAUCUUCAUAAAAGGUCCAGCCUGCCCAGUGACUUUUGUUC